rnacentral:sRNA from 1 species
CCGAGCUCAGAUCAGCGUGGGGCGGAGGAGAAGUGGGAUUUGGAAGCUCAGGGGCACAGGGGCCCAGGGGCACAGGCCCACGACUGCAGUGGGAUGGACCAGUACUGCAUCCUGGGCCGCAUCGGGGAGGGCGCCCACGGCAUCGUCUUCAAGGCCAAGCACGUGGAGACUGGCGAGAUAGUUGCCCUCAAGAAGGUGGCCCUAAGGCGGUUGGAGGACGGCAUCCCUAACCAGGCCCUGCGGGAGAUUAAGGCUCUGCAGGAGAUGGAGGACAAUCAGUAUGUGGUGCAACUGAAGGCUGUGUUCCCACAUAGUGCAGGCUUUGUGCUGGCCUUUGAGUUCAUGCUGUCGGAUCUGGCCGAGGUGGUGCGCCAUGCCCAGAGGCCACUAGCCCAGGCACAGGUCAAGAGCUACCUGCAGAUGCUGCUCAAGGGCGUCUCCUUCUGCCAUGCCAACAACAUUGUACAUCGGGUCAGUCUCAGCAUAGGCCAGGCAUGGGGUCUGGGGAGCUGACUUGGCUUGGGGAUGGGGCUAGCCCUUGUAGAACGUGUGAUAAGAAGUUGGGACAGAGCUGGUCAAGGCCUCCAGGUAGGUGGCCAAGGCAUGGCCCUGGAGGAGGUGGGGACUGGGGCUGACCUGGGUGGUUAGACUGCCAAGCCCGCUUGUCCCAAGGUCUUAUGGGGGAUUUGGAGGGACUGAUGCUUCUUUUGGUACUCCCAGGACCUGAAACCUGCCAACCUACUCAUCAGCGCCUCAGGCCAGCUCAAGAUAGCGGACUUUGGCCUGGCUCGAGUGUUUUCCCCAGACGGCAGCCGCCUCUACACACACCAGGUGGCCACCAGGUAGGGCGGGCCAGAUCCCUUCCAGUCCUCUCCAUGGGGAAGAGAUGCUUCUGGGCCUUUUCUCCAGACAUUGCUUGUGGAGCUGGGGUCACCUCCCCAGGCAUCCUUUUCUCAGCCCAGUGCCUACCAGCCCUCUUCCUUGCAGGUGGUACCGAGCCCCCGAGCUCCUGUAUGGUGCCCGCCAGUAUGACCAGGGCGUCGAUCUGUGGUGAGACCCCAGCGGGUGGUCAAAGGGUAACAUGGCUCAUGGAUUUCUGCUAGGCUCUGAGGUCUCUGAGCUGUUUGGUGGUGUUUUCCCUGGUGGGAGUUUAGGCUUCCUUGAGGGUGUCUUCCCCA